rnacentral:rRNA from 1 species
UACGGAGGGUGCGAGCGUUGUCCGGAAUCACUGGGCGUAAAGGGCGCGUAGGCGGCCUGAUAAGUAGGGGGUGAAAUCCUGCGGCUUAACCGCAGGGCUGCCUUCUAAACUGUCAGGCUUGAGCACAGUAGAGGCAGGUGGAAUUCCCGGUGUAGCGGUGGAAUGCGUAGAGAUCGGGAAGAACAUCAGUGGCGAAGGCGGCCUGCUGGGCUGUUGCUGACGCUGAGGCGCGAAAGCGUGGGGAGCGAACAGG